AGUGAACGCUGGCGGUAGGCCUAACACAUGCAAGUCGAACGGCAGCACAGUAAGAGCUUGCUCUUACGGGUGGCGAGUGGCGGACGGGUGAGGAAUACAUCGGAAUCUACUUUUUCGUGGGGGAUAACGUAGGGAAACUUACGCUAAUACCGCAUACGACCUACGGGUGAAAGCAGGGGAUCUUCGGACCUUGCGCGAUUGAAUGAGCCGAUGUCGGAUUAGCUAGUUGGCGGGGUAAAGGCCCACCAAGGCGACGAUCCGUAGCUGGUCUGAGAGGAUGAUCAGCCACACUGGAACUGAGACACGGUCCAGACUCCUACGGGAGGCAGCAGUGGGGAAUAUUGGACAAUGGGCGCAAGCCUGAUCCAGCCAUACCGCGUGGAUGAAGAAGGCCUUCGGGUUGUAAAGCCCUUUUGUUGGGAAAGAAAAGCAGCAGGUUAAUACCCCGCUGUUCUGACGGUACCCAAAGAAUAAGCACCGGCUAACUUCGUG
rnacentral:rRNA from 1 species